rnacentral:lncRNA from 1 species
ACUUAUGAAAACAUCGCUCUUUUUUUUCUAACAGGUGCCGAGACAAACGAUGCGUAUUCCAGCGGUUAUGUUCGUUCCAGCAGUGGGAAUUUUGUUCGCAGCGCACAUUGCACUCGUGGCAUCAGAUCUUCAGGAGGACUGCCCCUUUAGAUGCAGUCAGCGAGGAUGCAUAUAUAGGGGUCAUGUCAUACCGAGGGGACAAAGCAUGAACUUACACCGUCCCUGUGUACAUGCUGAAUGCAGCGCCAAUGGACACAGACUUACACUGACAGGGUGCCAAGAAACCGCUGGAAGCUGCUCGGAGGCCCCGGGGGGGCCCAGUGCAGAUCAAAGAGUAUGGCCUCGCUGCUGCGCUAAUUGCCCCCGAGUACAGAUACAAGCUUAAGAAGACGUCGUUGGGCAUUGACACCGUCCUGCAAAAUCAACAUGUCUUCAUGAAACUGGUAGUAUGUUGGCGGCAUGAAUGAUGUAGAUAGGCUUAUUUUGUGUAAUGUGGGCCAGCACAACUAAGAUGUCAUGUGCAGUAUGCUUAAUAAACGACUUUCU